rnacentral:rRNA from 1 species
ACGUACGAGGCGAGCGUUAUCCGGAAUUACUGGGCGUAAAGCGCGCGCAGGCGGACGUUUAAGUUGGGCGUGAAAUCUCCCGGCCUAACUGGGAGGGGUCGCCCAAGACUGGGCGUCUUGAGGACAGCAGAGGUAGGUGGAAUUCCUGGUGUAGUGGUGAAAUGCGUAGAGAUCAGGAGGAACACCGGUGGCGAAGGCGGCCUACUGGGCUGUCACUGACGCUGAGGCGCGAAAGCUCGGGGAGCGAACGGGA